UGUCCCUUUGUAUCAGAUCAAGUGUUCCUUUUAAUCACCUGAUCUUUCUAUAAAAAAACAUGGCAUCAUUGAGAUUCCUGCGUGAUAUAAUGGGAAAGCAUCCAUUUAGAGUAUGCCCAUUACAAGAAUGACCCAUAAGUUCAAGUUCCCAACCAUGUUCAAGCUCAAUGAUUUACAAGCAGUCCUUUCUAUAUGAAUCCCAAAACAGGCAGUAAGUUAAUCGUCCCAGGUUCGAGUCUGAAACUCUCUUACAAUAGAGGUCAGAGAGCAAUGUCUCAGAUACAACUGCAUAAUCAACAUUUGAGUGCAGAGUCUGUUGAGUUUUCUCUAGGGAGGGAAGGCCUCAAUGAUGAGUUUUUCGACUCUGCCAGUUCAUUUGCACGUGAAAAAUGGCUUCUGAGAAGGCAAAUGCAAGGAUUCCAGACAGCUGCACCAGCAGCAACCAAGCAGCUCUUGCAGAAAGAACAACGAACACGAAUAGCACAACCAAUUCCAACUUUGGGAAAGCACUAGCACAGAGAGCACUUUUCAGAUCACGUCGUCGUCUAUGGGUUGGGGGCAGAAAGACUACAAACAAUGAGGCCAAGUCAUUACCAAGCAGGCUAAGCAAGGUUUCCUUGGCUGAAGAUUCAGAAAAUCAGUGAAUGGGUUUUGCACCAUUUGCAGUGCAGUCCGUGUAGAUUCCUCUUUGCAGUUAAACACUAUAUAUUGUAAAGGCAUUAAAUCCUGUAACAGACAAUAAGGUAAAAUGAUUUUCUAUCUUAUGUGUCUGGGACAUGCAUUUAAUCAAUACUAUUGUUAGAUAGUGUGACAAAUUGACUAGCGAAAUCAGUGCAGAAUCUGUCUGCCCUUCCA